AUUGUCAUAAAUUCAUUUUAUUUUCAGGUAAAAAUUCUUCAAGGACUUGGACUUCAUACAACUCUCAUCACUGAUGGAAAUUGCCCCAUAAAUUUAUUUAAUACUGCACAAGGAUUGAUAGGAAAUUCCUUAUUGGAGCCACCCGCUAAAAUGCAAAAGGAAUAAGGAAACUCGCUAAGGCCAAUAUAAAAUUGGAUGAUGACUGCCAUUUUCAUUCCUUAAAAUAAUUACUGUUACUUGUGUUAAUGAAGGGAAGACUGUGUGAAUUCAGGCUAUUUGACAUUAGUUUGUUGUUGAAACAUGAGCAUUCUAUUUUUAAUACUAAUGAUACAAAUUGUUGUUUAAAAUCAAAUAUAUUUUUCCGAUUUUGCAAUUUCUGUAAAAUUAAACAGCUUUUCAAGUUUGUCUACACACCAUGCAAGAAAAAUUGAUGUACUUAGAACAAAUAAAAAUGUAUGCAGAUGUAGAUUAUUUACUUAUCUAAAUACAUCUGCUAUUAGAAUAAAUAAAUAUAUAUAUAUAUAUAUAUCUUCAACUAGCAGGUCAGUGUUGACCAGGCAAAAAGUAAUACAGAUAAACAUGAAAAUUAAAACAUUGCAUAAUAAUUAAUGGGUCAUUAUUAGGUUUAAUGCAUUAUUAUAUAAUUAUCGCUGCAUCAAAUUGAAAUUAUAGGAUUCCAGAAGAUUUCAUGUUAGCAGGAUCCAUAACAAUUACCCCUGCAGACCCAGCAAUUGGAAGAAAUUUUAAGUUGAUAUCAGGAGGACUAUUUAUUGCGCUGAAGUUAAUUGUGGAUUUAAUACAACAUAUAAUUACAAAUUAAGAGAACAUUUAAGAGACGAACACGAACUUGCUUCGUACGAAUCAAGAAAAAUUAUAUUCGAAUCUUUAGAAAAAUUUUGGGAAUGGAAACAUCAAGUCGAAAAAGCAAGUUGUUCAAAAUUUUUCCAAACUAGUAAGAAGAAAUUAGGUUCUGGUUAUAGUAAAUAUUAUUUUUCUUGUAACAGAACUGGAAUUUAUAAGCCAAAAGGAAAUAACAAGAGAGCUUUGAAGUUUCAGGUGAUUUUAUUAAUAUUGUGGACCACAAAGUCCUUAUGUAUGUUGAUUAGUGUUUCUGACAUCCUUAUCCAUGUUGUA